GGGACUUUUGGGGGCAGAUGUGUUUCACU
rnacentral:ncRNA from 2 species